GAUGAACGCUAGCGAUAGGCUUAACACAUGCAAGUCGAGGGGCAGCAUGGUCUUAGCUUGCUAAGACUGAUGGCGACCGGCGCACGGGUGCGUAACGCGUAUGCAACUUGCCUCACAGAGGGGGAUAACCCGUCGAAAGACGGACUAAUACCGCGUACACUCUAUUUUGGGCAUCCAAGGUAGAGGAAAUGAAAUUCGCUGUGAGAUAGGCAUGCGUCCCAUUAGCUAGUUGGUGAGGCAACGGCUCACCAAGGCGACGAUGGGUAGGGGAACUGAGAGGUUGAACCCCCACACUGGUACUGAGACACGGACCAGACUCCUACGGGAGGGAGCAGUAAGGAAUAUUGGUGGAUGGACGAGGGCCUGAACCAGCCAAGUCGCGUGAAGGAUGACUGGCUUAUGGAUUGUAUACUUCUUGUGUAGGAGAAUUAAGAGGGGCACGUGUGCCCCAGUGAAUGUACCCUACGAAUAAGCAUCGGCUAACUACGUG
rnacentral:rRNA from 1 species